GACAGAGGGUGCAAACGUUGUUCGGAAUUACUGGGCGUAAAGCGCGUGUAGGCGGCUGCGCAAGUCGGAUGUGAAAUCCCAUGGCUCAACCAUGGAAGUGCACCCGAAACUGCGUAGCUUGAGUCCCGGAGAGGAAGGCGGAAUGCUUGGUGUAGAGGUGAAAUUCGUAGAUAUCAAGCAGAACACCGGUGGCGAAGGCGGCCUUCUGGACGAUGACUGACGCUGAGACGCGAAAGCGUGGGGAGCAAACAGG
rnacentral:rRNA from 1 species